AGAUUGCCUCAGCAUUUCCCAGUGAAGGCAUCCAUAUUGUUAUUUCCCCAGAUACUGUGUCCCAGACAGCCUGGUAUUCAAGAGUCCUUGCAAAUACAGAAGAAUAACACCAGAGACUCUCUACAAAAACCUCAUUGUAAGACUAAAAGGAUUUCCUGUGAAUAAGAGCUACACAUGGACUUAACACUGCUGGGAGCAAGAACAUACAAGGAGAAACCAACUACACAGUGAAGCCAAGACAUUACUGCUUUUUAAUGAUUUCUUUGUAGAUAGGUGGAAGAGGUCUUUUCCAAAGGAAUUCAUGAUAAUACAGUGUACCCAAGAACACGAGGGAGAAUGUAUGGAAGAAAAAAAGGAAGCCUUGAAGGAAAAGAGGAAGCUCUGAGCCUUCCCUGUCUUUCUGUUCUUUUCUACUCACUUAGAUUAGAUGUGAAUGUAACUGAUAGGCAAUGCAUAUUGCUUCUUCUGCAGAAAGGGGACUGUAGCUGGAUAUAAUGAUUUCUUAGUGCUGCAUUAUGGUGACAGUUCAAAGGGUUAGCAGAACACAACUUAAAGUAAUAUUGCUUUCAAGGCAAAUGCCACAGGACUGCUCACUAGAGCACAGAUGGUGAAGGUCUGUAAGGGAUUUUUGGUAACCAUUUCUAGAACAGCUUGGAAAGUGAUAUUUUGCACAAAUAAUUAAAAAUAAAAAAUAAUCUUGACAAAUGGACUUAAAGGAAAAGGAGUAGGUGUGGAUAUUCUUAAGUUAAACUUAAGAAUGCAUUUCUAUGGGGAAAAUAAAACCCAUUUAUCUAAUUUUUUUUUUCCUCAUCUUUAUGACCUCCUACUUUUAAUUGCUUUAAAUAAACUCACAUUUGUAUCAACAAGGAUCCUUAUUACUAUCAUACAUCAGUGCAAAACAGGAAUAAUUUGAACAUGAAAAUCCAUGAAAGGUAGAAGAUUCUGGAGAUAUCCUUUCUCAUAUUAAAUAUUACUAUGUUUAUGCGGUUUUGGAAAGAGUUGAGCUCCAGCUGAAUGUGUCUCAGACUGUAGAGGGAAACUGAUACCCAUUCUGUAGCAAUUUUAAUGUGAAAUAAAAGUAAGUGUUGAUUUGA